AUUGAACGCUGGCGGCAGGCCUAACACAUGCAAGUCGAACGAGUGGCGGACGGGUGAGGAAUGCCUGGGAAACUGCCUGAUGGAGGGGGAUAACUACGGGAAACUGAAGCUAAUACCGCAUACCAUCGGAUGUGCCCAGAUGGGAUUAGCUUGUUGGUGGGGUAACGGCUCACCAAGGCGACGAUCCCUAGCUGGUCUGAGAGGAUGACCAGCCACACUGGAACUGAGACACGGUCCAGACUCCUACGGGAGGCAGCAGUGGGGAAUAUUGGACAAUGGGCGCAAGCCUGAUGCAGCCAUGCCGCGUGUAUGAAGAAGGCCUUCGGGUUGUAAAGUACUUUAAGCGGGGAGGCGUUACCCGCAGAAGAAGUACCGGCUAACUCCGUGCCAGCAGCCGCGGUAAUUC
rnacentral:rRNA from 1 species